rnacentral:misc_RNA from 1 species
UACGGAGGGUGCAAACGUUGUUCGGAAUUAUUGGGCGUAAAGGGCGCGCAGGCGGCGGCGUGUGUCUGGUGUGAAAGGCCACCUCUUAAAGGUGGAAUUGCGCUGGAAACUACGUCGCUAGAGUCCCGGAGGGGGUGGCGGAAUUCCCGGUGUAGAGGUGAAAUUCGUAGAUAUCGGGAGGAACACCCGUGGCGAAGGCGGCCACCUGGACGGUGACUGACGCUGAGGCGCGAAAGCGUGGGGAGCAAACAGG